rnacentral:rRNA from 1 species
GAGUUUGAUCCUGGCUCAGGACGAACGCUGGCGGCGCGCUUAAUACAUGCAAGUCGAACGGUGAACGGGGCUUCGGCCCCGGGAUCAGUGGCGAACGGGUGCGUAACACGUGGGCAACCUGCCCCUCACUCUGGGAUACCCCCGGGAAACCGGAGCUAAUACCGGAUACUCCGACCGAACCGCAUGGCUCGAUCGGGAAAGGUCCGCCGGUGAGGGAUGGGCCCGCGGCCUAUCAGCUUGUUGGUGGGGUAACGGCCCACCAAGGCUUCGACGGGUAGCUGGUCUGAGAGGACGACCAGCCACACUGGGACUGAGAUACGGCCCAGACUCCUACGGGAGGCAGCAGUAGGGAAUCUUGCGCAAUGGGCGAAAGCCUGACGCAGCGACGCCGCGUGGGGGACGAAGGCCCUCGGGUUGUAAACCCCUUUCGGCAGGGACGAAGCGAUCGUGACGGUACCUGCAGAAGAAGCCUCGGCUAACUACGUGCCAGCAGCCGCGGUAAGACGUAGGAGGCGAGCGUUGUCCGGAUUCAUUGGGCGUAAAGAGCACGCAGGCGGUUUGGCAAGUCGGAUGUGAAAACCCGGAGCUCAACUCCGGACCUGCAUCCGAAACUGCCCGACUAGAGGUAGGUAGGGGAGAUCGGAAUUCCUGGUGUAGCGGUGAAAUAGCAGAUAUCAGGACGGACUGAUAUGCGACGCGGAUAGCUGGAACGUACACGACUUCAGUGCAAAGUAUAGGGGAGCGAUCAGGAUUAGAGCCUUGGUAGUGAUAGUCGUAUACGGCCCAGAGAUGGUGUGGGCGGAUAUCAUGUUCCGUCCGAUAUGAAGCGCAACGCAUUAAGCCACCAGGAUGGGGAGUCUCCCCGCAAGGCUAAAAGUCAAACAAAUUGACGGGCAGGUCCGCAAGCGACGUACCAUUUUUCACAUUUGGAUGCGCAAAGAAGAACCUUACUUGGUCCUGACAUGCAGUGCGAACAACGUGAAAGUGGGUGCUCUUCGGACGGGCACAGCAGGUACAUAGCCGAGGUCUGUUCGGCAGGUGAGGUCUUGCUCUAAUUGUCGCAACGAAAACAGGUCUUCAACCUAAGGGCCAUCGGAUCACACCGGGAGUUGUAGGGUCAGGCCCGGUGCCAAUCCGCAGGAAGGUGGGGAGGAAGUCAAGUCAUCAGUCUCCUUAGUAUCAGGUUGCAAACAUCUACAAUCCUCGGUACAAAGGGCUGCGUCGAAUAAGGGGGAGCGAAUCCCAGAAAGCCAAGCUCAUAUCGGAUCGGGGUAUGCAUCUCCGGCGGGCGAAUUUGGAUCGAGUAGUAAUCGCAGAUCAGAGUAUCCGGUAUGAAUUCCGGUUUGGGGGGGUACACCAGAGUGAGCGCCACGUGAAACUGGGCAUCCGCAGAAGCCGGUCGCUUAUCCCGGGGGGGGGGAGCCGUUGAAGGUGGGGCUCGCGAGUGGGGAGAAGUCGUAACAAGGUAGCCGUUCCGGAAGGAGCGAACGCAUCACCUCGAGGAUAAUCCGGAACCGAGGCUGGAUCACCUCCUUUCU